UUUCCGUAGGUGAACCUGCGGAAGGAUCCUUAUCGAGUUUUGACUGGGUUGUAGCUGGCCUUCCGAGGCUUGUGCACGCCCUGCUCAUCCACUGUAUACCUGUGCACUUACUGUAGGUAUCAGAUCGUGAAGCGUGCUCUUUUACCGGAUCUUGUAACGCGUGUCUGUGCCUGCGUUUAUCUCAAACACUAUAACGUAUUAGACUGUGUAUUACGAUGUAACGCAUCUAUAUACAACUUUCAGCAACGGAUCUCUUGGCUCUC
rnacentral:misc_RNA from 1 species